UCGUUUAUUUUAAGAGCUUUACACAGGCUUCAUUUCUGGCUGUUUAAAAACUUGUGGAAAAUAAAAUAAAACAGCCAGCGCCAUUAGUCAACUCAAACCUUUUAAAAAAAGUCCUCUGAAGCUGAAGAAGACGUAUCUUUUGAAGAGAGGGCCCAACUGUUGUCUGCCUGGGAGGACGGGAGAAGUUGGCGGACAGAGCCCAGGGGAAGGCGCCUCGGGGGAGCUGUGGUGAUUAGAGGGGCUGGCCUUGGCGAGUCCGGGCCGAGCCCAGCCAAGGUGACGCAGGACGCCUGCCAAGACGGGGCCGAACCCGAGCCAAGCCUGGGCCAGGCCUCUGAAAGAAGCGAUUUGGGAGACAGUCGGCUGGCACUUUCAGAUGGCCUGGAUAUCUGGCAUGUACUGCGGCCUUGGUAGACCUGAACUUUUGGGAAACUUUUGCUGGAGAGCAGGAAACCCGCCUGGAUACAGACAGCAACCAAUCAGAAGCGAGAACGAACUGAAUAAACAAAGUUUGGAGGCAGCCCUGCAGCAGCUGCCAGGGUCAAAGUUCAGCUAGUUUGUUUCAAAGUUCUCCAACCGCUUUAAUCAGGGAUAAUUGGAGGGUGAACUCAGUAUGAGGCAGAAAGGCACUCACAGAAACAACAUGUCUUUAUAUUGGUGAAGGAUUCAUCAGAACUAAAUUUUAUUGGACAAAAAAAGGUGCUCUAAAAGCUUUUUUUGGGUGCAUGUCCCGUGGUAAACCAAAAUACUGUCCAGACGAAAUCUAACAUUUAAUAAAAUCAGCCUCAGGUACUA